UAUCCGCCAGAAAACUACGAGCGAAAAGCUUAAAACUCAAAGGACUUGGCGGUGCUUCAUACCGACUUAGAGGAGCCUGUCCUAUAAUCGAUGCCCCACGCUAAACCUGACCAAUCUUUGCCCUAUCAGCCUAUAUACCGCCGUCGCCAACCUACCUCGUGAGAGAAAAACAGUAAGUACAAAAGUUUUAAUGACUAAAACGUCAGGUCAAGGUGUAGCUAAUAGAAUGGAAGAGAUGGGCUACAUUUUUUAAGAUAAAACACACGGCAUGGUACUAUGAAAUUUUUACCUGAAGGAGGAUUUAAUAGUAAAACUAACAAGAAAGUUAGUUGUAAACA
rnacentral:rRNA from 1 species